GCUCUACCUUGAGAUUCUACCAUGUGUGGUUGUUUGAGUUGAAUUAUGGUUAUAAUUUAUCUUGUGCAUUUAUAAAGGAAUGAUUAAUCCAAGAUGAUUGCCACAUUGAAUCUUUGUAAAGAUGUUAACAGGACAAAGUGCAAAUCUUUUUCUGUUUCUCGGACGUUUCAGCUUUUACAUCAAUGUAUAGUA